GUGCCAGCAGCCGCGGUAAUACGAAGGGUGCAAGCGUUAAUCGGAAUUACUGGGCGUAAAGCGCGCGUAGGUGGUUCAGUAAGUUAGGAGUGAAAGCCCCGGGCUCAACCUGGGAAUUGCUUCUAAAACUGCUGGGCUAGAGUACAGUAGAGGGUGGUGGAAUUUCCUGUGUAGCGGUGAAAUGCGUAGAUAUAGGAGGGAACAUCAGUGGCGAAGGCGACCACCUGGACUGAUACUGACACUGAGGUGCGAAAGCGUGGGGAGCAAACAGG
rnacentral:rRNA from 1 species